rnacentral:misc_RNA from 1 species
AACACUGUUAACCUGCGGUACCUGCGGAAGGAUCAUUACAGAGUUGCAAAACUCCCACAAACCAUCGCGAAUCUUACCCGUACGGUUGCCUCGGCGCUGGCGGUCCGGAAGGCCCUCGGGCCCCCGGACCCUCGGGUCCCCCGCUCGCGGGGGGCUGCCCGCCGGAGUGCCGAAACCAAACUCUUGAUAUUUUAUGUCUCUCUGAGUAAACUUUUAAAUAAGUCAAAACUUUCAGCAAUG